CAGUCGCCGCGGGAAUACGAAGGGGGCUAGCGUUGUUCGGAUUUACUGGGCGUAAAGGGCGCGUAGGCGGGCGAAUAAGUCAGGGGUGAAAUCCCAAGGCUCAACCUUGGAACUGCCUUUGAUACUGUUUGUCUUGAGUUCGAGAGAGGUAAGUGGAACUGCGAGUGUAGAGGUGAAAUUCGUAGAUAUUCGCAAGAACACCAGUGGCGAAGGCGGCUUACUGGCUCGAAACUGACGCUGAGGCGCGAAAGCGUGGGGAGCGAACAGGAUUAGAUACCCCAGUAGUCCCUGUCUCUUAUAC
rnacentral:rRNA from 1 species